rnacentral:tRNA from 1 species
GCGGGGGUAGCAAAGCCUGGUCAAAUGCGCAGGACUUAAGAUCCUGUCCCUCAGUGGGUUCGUGGGUUCAAAUCCCGCCCCCCGCA